rnacentral:lncRNA from 1 species
CUCUAGCUCAUCAUUUAAGCAACCAAAACCCAAUGGUUUGCCCAAAUUAAACAAAACAAAAAACACCAUUGUUUUGCCUCUAUACCCAUGAAACACCACAGAGAGGGGAUGAAAAUGUAACCAAAGCCCGAUCAACACCUAAUCUUGACAAAGCCUAUUGCGUCGAACAACAAGCCUUAAAUUUUGAAAUAAUCCAACAAAUUAGCAAGCCCAAAUCAAUGAAGCAGUAGGCUCGACGAAAUUAAAUUAAGCCCAAUCCAAAAAAAAAUGUUAUAAUCUCUGCCCAGUUAUUAAAAAAAACCAACAAAGUCAUAUCUCAACAACAAUAAUCUAUAGAUCACGGCCCAAGUAAAAUAACAGCCCAAAUAUCCAGCCCAAAACCAUUGAAUCUAAAGAAAAUUACUACCUAAAUCCAACCACAAUUACAAGCAAUGAUGCUUGCAGUUCAUCACCAAAAAAGAAAGCUAUAAUGCCGAGCAAUACCCAGGAUUUCAACAACUUGAAGAUGCUGAAAUUAGCAAUUGAGGACACCGUAAUCUACCAAAAGAGUCCACCAAUUCUCUCCAAAUAUUCACUGACGUGGGAGGGAAGCAUUGACUUCACAAAGAUGGAUAAUCAAAUUCCAGGCUUGACUCAAGGUCAUCUGUUUUCCUUAUAGCACUCUGAAGAAAGACCCAGCCAAAAACCAGCACUAAAAACAAACAAUAGCCCAUAACUACAGUCUAAAACAGCAUGCCCAUCGACCCUAAGUCGCCGCCUCCACUACCACAUCGUCGACAGUCAACCAACCCCGAUUUAUCUGCACAAAUAGGGGCUGAAAGUAGUGAAGAAAAUGAGGCACACAUGUGAUGGUUUCUAAGUCAAAAGUCAGCAACAUACGUCAACGGUAAGAGAGAAGUGGUCACACUAAAGGAACGAAGUGGCAGCGGUGGGCCUGGGAAGAAGAAAGG